CUGGAGGUAUCAGAAGUGCGAAUGCUGACAUAAGUAACGAUAAAGCGGGUGAAAAGCCCGCUCGCCGGAAGACCAAGGGUUCCUGUCCAACGUUAAUCGGGGCAGGGUGAGUCGACCCCUAAGGCGAGGCCGAAAGGCGUAGUCGAUGGGAAACAGGUUAAUAUUCCUGUACUUGGUGUUACUGCGAAGGGGGGACGGAGAAGGCUAUGUUGGCCGGGCGACGGUUGUCCCGGUUUAAGCGUGUAGGCUGGUUUUCCAGGCAAAUCCGGAAAAUCAAGGCUGAGGCGUGAUGACGAGGCACUACGGUGCUGAAGCAACAAAUGCCCUGCUUCCAGGAAAAGCCUCUAAGCAUCAGGUAACAUCAAAUCGUACCCCAAACCGACACAGGUGGUCAGGUAGAGAAUACCAAGGCGCUUGAGAGAACUCGGGUGAAGGAACUAGGCAAAAUGGUGCCGUAACUUCGGGAGAAGGCACGCUGAUAUGUAGGUGAAGCGACUUGCUCGUGGAGCUGAAAUCAGUCGAAGAUACCAGCUGG
rnacentral:rRNA from 1 species